rnacentral:rRNA from 1 species
AAAAACAUCGCCUUUUGACAAAAUAUAAAAGGUCCAGCCUGCCCAGUGACAAAGUUAAACGGCCGCGGUACCCUAACCGUGCAAAGGUAGCACAAUCACUUGUUCUCUAAAUAAGGACUAGUAUGAACGGCAUCACGAGGAUUAUGCUGUCUCCCCCCUUUAAUCAGUGAAACUGAUCCCCCCGUGAAGAAACGGGGAUAAACCUACAAGACGAGAAGACCCUGUGGAGCUUUAAACUAACACCACCUUCCUCAAGACACACCAUAAUAAAUAGGUAAGCUUGUGUGCUAGCUUUAGGUUGGGGCGACCACGGAGUAAAACCAAACCUCCACGAUGAAAGACUACUUUCUAAUCCGAGGGCAACACCUCAAAGAAUCAACAAAUUGACAUAAUUGACCCAAUAAUUUUGAUCAACGAACCAAGUUACCCCAGGGAUAACAGCGCAAUCCACUUCAAGAGCUCAUAUCGACAAGUGGGUUUACGACCUCGAUGUUGGAUCAGGGUAUCCAAGUGGUGCAGCCGCUACUAAAGGUUCGUUUGUUCAACGAUUAAAACCCUACGUGAUCUGA